rnacentral:lncRNA from 1 species
AUGGCUGCUCCCCAGCACUGCUUCCCGGCACCACGACCUGAGCGGCUCUGCUCUGCCACCCGACCACGCACUGAAUCCACGGAAACCAUGAGCCAAAUAAACCUCGCCUCCUGCAGUUGUGGGCACUGGGUACUGUGUCUCAGAAAUGGGGAAGUGAUUCAGAAGGAGAGAAGGAGAGAGGCAGAAGGAAGAAAGCCAAACAUCUUCAACUGCAUGAACUUAGCCCAGCCAGCAUGGGCCUCUGAGCACAGAUGGUCCACACCCAAGCCCGGCUCCAGCCAGCAGCUCUGCUUCCAGCAGGCCACCCUGACGGCACUCCCCGCCUGCCACGACGCGCAGGACGGCACAGGGGCCAGGGAUGCUACUUCCCACGGCUCGAAAUGCCUCAGAUCGGCAGUGUCUAAACUCUUGGUUCCAUCCUGGAUGGGGCAGCGGGGUUCCUUGGCAGCAAGACUGGGGGUCCCGUCCUGUCCUGACCCCACCAGCCACGGCACCUGGAGGACCAGAGGCUCACACAGCCAAGCUUUGAAGUCUACAUUUCCAAAAGGCAGACCGGCCGUCUUGGGAACCUUGCAUCUAUUCCUCCUUGGAAGCCCAACAGGUCUGCCAUCGGUAAAUCCUGCCGCCUCUAACUUUAAGUGGAUUUGGACUCGAAGGCUGCCACCUACGCAAGUCACUCCAGUCCCGCCACCUCUCACCUGGACCACUUGUGAACCCUGGACUCCUCAACAGCUCUCCCUGCUUCUGUCGUGGUCUUAGGAUGAUCCCUCCAAAAGCAAUGUUUGACUACAUCACGUCUCUGCUGAAAACCCCAAAAGCCCUUCAAGGACCAGCCAGAGUUCUCAGUAUGCAGUUCUUGUGCUCCUCCCCUGUGUCCUCUGCUCAAGCUGUCUGCUUUCUGCCUGUCUCUGCUCCCACCUGCCAGCGGACCGUUGCACAUGCUGGUCUUGCUGCCUGGCACAUACCCAAUACCCACCUGGCUUUCUCCCAUACCUUCUCCAAAACCUUAUUCAUUGACCAUUGAGUCACCAGGGCCUUUGUGACCACAUGCAUUCAUGCCCAUCCCAACCCUUUACAAUCCAUAUAACAUAACAUAACUUCUAUCUCACACAAGUAUUUCUUCCAUAUCACCACACUUACUACACUUGCUGCUUAAUUUCUGCAUCCUCCCCUGGAAUGUGCACUCCCAGAGAACAAGUCUUUGUCUGUUUUAACUCAAAUAUCCCCAGGGCCUAGAACAUGUGCUCCACAGUAACUGCCCAAUGUGUACAUGAAAAUGAAAGAAAAUAAACAAGUUGCAACCCACUCUGGGGCUCUGCUUAUUUCCCCUCAUCCAGAAGGUAAGAGACUCUGCCCUUUCACCAUGUCUCCCACCCCUGGAGACAGCCUACCCUACCUGAAGCCAGCUGCUC